rnacentral:rRNA from 1 species
GACAGAGGGUGCAAACGUUGUUCGGAAUUACUGGGCGUAAAGCGCGUGUAGGCGGCCCCUGCAAGUCGGGUGUGAAAGCCCUGGGCUUAACCUAGGAAGUGCACUCGAAACUGCCAAGCUUGAGUUCUGGAGAGGAAGGCGGAAUUCUCGGUGUAGAGGUAAAAUUCGUAGAUAUCGAGAGGAACACCGGUGGCGAAGGCGGCCUUCUGGACAGCAACUGACGCUGAGACGCGAAAGCGUGGGGAGCAAACAGG